UAAGCUUGGUUCUCACAUGCUGCAUCUGGCUU
rnacentral:piRNA from 1 species